AUACGGAGGGUGCAAGCGUUACUCGGAAUCACUGGGCGUAAAGCGCGCGCAGGCGGCUUGAUAAGUUGGAUGUGAAAGCCUACGGCUCAACCGUAGAACUGCAUCCAAAACUGUCAAGCUCGAGUCUGGGAGGGGAAGAUGGAAUUAGUUGUGUAGGGGUAAAAUCCGUAGAGAUAACUAGGAAUACCAAAAGCGAAGGCGAUCUUCUGGAACAGUACUGACGCUGAGGCGCGAAAGCGUGGGGAGCAAACAGGAUUAGAAACCCCAGUAGUCC
rnacentral:rRNA from 1 species